ACGGGCUCUUCGGAGCUAGUGGCGGACGGGUGAGUAACGCGUGAGAAUCUGGCUUCAGGUUCGGGACAACAGUUGGAAACGGCUGCUAAUACCGGAUGUGCCCUUGGGUGAAAGAUUUAUCACCUGAAGAUGAGCUCGCGUCUGAUUAGCUAGUAGGUGUGGUAAGAGCGCACCUAGGCGACGAUCAGUAGCUGGUCUGAGAGGAUGACCAGCCACACUGGGACUGAGACACGGCCCAGACUCCUACGGGAGGCAGCAGUGGGGAAUUUUCCGCAAUGGGCGAAAGCCUGACGGAGCAAUACCGCGUGAGGGAGGAAGGCUCUUGGGUUGUAAACCUCUUUUCUCAGGGAAGAAGAAAUGACGGUACCUGAGGAAUCAGCAUCGGCUAACUCCGUGCCAGCAGCCGCGGUAAUACGGAGGAUGCAAGCGUUAUCCGGAAUGAUUGGGCGUAAAGCGUCCGCAGGUGGCAAUGUAAGUCUGCUGUCAAAGCGUCUGGCUCAACCAGAUAAAGGCAGUGGAAACUACAUAGCUAGAGUAAGGUAGGGGUAGAGGGAAUUCCUGGUGUAGCGGUGAAAUGCGUAGAGAUCAGGAAGAACACCGGUGGCGAAAGCGCUCUGCUGGACCUUAACUGACACUGAGGGACGAAAGCUAGGGGAGCGAAUGGGAUUAGAUACCCCAGUAGUCCUAGCCGUAAACGAUGGAUACUAG
rnacentral:rRNA from 1 species